AUCCAGCGACGCCGCGUGGGUGAAGAAGGCCUUCGGGUUGUAAAGCCCUUUAAGCCGGGACGAAAAAGCUACACCUAACACGUGUGGCCUUGACGGUACCGGAAGAAUAAGCACCGGCUAACUCUGUGCC
rnacentral:rRNA from 1 species